GAUGAACGCUGGCGGCGUGCCUAAUACAUGCAAGUCGAGCGAAUGGAUUAAGAGCUUGCUCUUAUGAAGUUAGCGGCGGACGGGUGAGUAACACGUGGGUAACCUGCCCAUAAGACUGGGAUAACUCCGGGAAACCGGGGCCAAUAACGGAUAACAUUUUGAACCGCAUGGUUCGAAAUUGAAAGGCGGCUUCGGCUGUCACGGAUGGAUGGACCCGCGUCGCAUUAGCUAGUUGGUGAGGUAACGGCUCACCAAGGCAACGAUGCGUAGCCGACCUGAGAGGGUGAUCGGCCACACUGGGACUGAGACACGGCCCAGACUCCUACGGGAGGCAGCAGUAGGGAAUCUUCCGCAAUGGACGAAAGUCUGACGGAGCAACGCCGCGUGAGUGAUGAAGGCUUUCGGGUCGUAAAACUCUGUUGUUAGGGAAGAACAAGUGCUAGUUGAAUAAGCUGGCACCUUGACGGUACCUAACCAGGAAGCCACGGCUAACUACGUGCCAGCAGCCGCCGUAA
rnacentral:rRNA from 1 species